AUGCUUUGAUUUUCCUUAAUAUUUUAUAAAUCUUUCACCUUUAGUUACUAAAGAUUUCCAUGGAGAGGAACCACUCUGAGCUUUAACCAACUUUUUAAGGCCUUGUGUUUGCAGAGCU
ensembl:snRNA U5 U5 spliceosomal RNA